rnacentral:rRNA from 1 species
GACGAACGCUGGCGGCGUGCCUAACACAUGCAGGUCGAACGGAAAGGCCCUGCUUUUGUGGGGUGCUCGAGUGGCGAACGGGUGAGUAACACGUGAGUAACCUGCCCUUGACUUUGGGAUAACUUCAGGAAACUGGGGCUAAUACCGGAUAGGAGCUCCUGCUGCAUGGUGGGGGUUGGAAAGUUUCGGCGGUUGGGGAUGGACUCGCGGCUUAUCAGCUUGUUGGUGGGGUAGUGGCUUACCAAGGCUUUGACGGGUAGCCGGCCUGAGAGGGUGACCGGCCACAUUGGGACUGAGAUACGGCCCAGACUCCUACGGGAGGCAGCAGUGGGGAAUAGUGCACAAUGGGCGGAAGCCUGAUGCAGCAACGCCGCGUGCGGGAUGACGGCCUUCGGGUUGUAAACCGCUUUCGCCUGUGACGAAGCGUGAGUGACGGUAAUGGGUAAAGAAGCACCGGCUAACUACGUG